rnacentral:misc_RNA from 1 species
AUGAAGAUGGAGGUAUAGGAUAAACUAUCAACAUGAAUAAAAAGUAUUAUAUGGAUUUAGCAAUGACCUUAAGACAGGAGGUACAAAAGGGUUUGUUUGUUUUUGUACCAUAUAGCUUGCAAAGCCUGGUAUACUUGGUGUCAUUUUAUGGUAGCUUGUGAUUUAAUUACAUAUCAACUGCAUAGAGAUCAAGGGACAUCUAUAGAAUAAAANNNNCAUAGUGUCUUGAUCUUUUUGGUUCCAACAUAUGCAAUGGCCUCACAAGCUUGGUUUCCCCCAAAAAUUGCUUCUUCCCACAUGGAUGAUAAUCCCCUAUAGUGGCAUUGUGAUGUCCCUUUGAUCCAUAUAGAUGCUAAUCCUUUAACAGAAAGACCUGUCACGUCUUGAAGGACUGUAAGUUGAAUCUUCUGUUUGCCUAGCUUUAUAGUGAUUUUUUUCUCUUCCUUUGCUGUUCCUCCCAUAUUCCUUUUCUCCUCCCUCAUAUUUUGAGAG